rnacentral:rRNA from 1 species
UCGAGGGGCAGCAUAUAGAUUGCUUGCAAUUUAUGAUGGCGACCGGCGCACGGGUGAGUAACGCGUAUCCAACCUACCCAUUACUAGGGAAUAACCCAGCGAAAGUUGGCCUAAUGCCCUAUGUAGUCGUUUGAUCGCCUGAGAUUUCGACGAAAGAUUUAUCGGUAUUGGAUGGGGAUGCGUCUGAUUAGCUUGUUGGCGGGGUAAAGGCCCACCAAGGCAACGAUCAGUAGGGGUUCUGAGAGGAAGGUCCCCCACAUUGGAACUGAGACACGGUCCAAACUCCUACGGGAGGCAGCAGUGAGGAAUAUUGGUCAAUGGGCGAGAGCCUGAACCAGCCAAGUAGCGUGCAGGAUGACGGCCCUAUGGGUUGUAAACUGCUUUUAUAUGGGAAUAAAGUGAGGGACGUGUCCCUUAUUGCAUGUACCAUAUGAAUAAGGACCGGCUAAUUCCGUGCCAGCAGCCGCGGUAAUACGGAAGGUCCAGGCGUUAUCCGGAUUUAUUGGGUUUAAAGGGAGCGUAGGCUGUUUGUUAAGCGUGUUGUGAAAUGUAAGAGCUCAACUUUUAGAUUGCAGCGCGAACUGGCAGACUUGAGUGCGCACAACGUAGGCGGAAUUCAUGGUGUAGCGGUGAAAUGCUUAGAUAUCAUGACGAACUCCGAUUGCGAAGGCAGCUUACGGGAGC